rnacentral:rRNA from 1 species
CUGGGGAUCUGCCCGAUGGAGGGGGAUAACCACUGGAAACGGUGGCUAAUACCGCAUAACGUCGCAAGACCAAAGUGGGGGACCUUCGGGCCUCACACCAUCGGAUGAACCCAGAUGGGAUUAGCUAGUAGGUGGGGUAAUGGCUCACCUAGGCGACGAUCCCUAGCUGGUCUGAGAGGAUGACCAGCCACACUGGAACUGAGACACGGUCCAGACUCCUACGGGAGGCAGCAGUGGGGAAUAUUGCACAAUGGGCGCAAGCCUGAUGCAGCCAUGCCGCGUGUGUGAAGAAGGCCUUCGGGUUGUAAAGCACUUUCAGCGAGGAGGAAGGUGGUGAGCUUAAUACGUUCAUCAAUUGACGUUACUCGCAGAAGAAGCACCGGCUAACUCCGUGCCAGCAGCCGCGGUAAUACGGAGGGUGCAAGCGUUAAUCGGAAUUACUGGGCGUAAAGCGCACGCAGGCGGUUUGUUAAGUCAGAUGUGAAAUCCCCGAGCUUAACUUGGGAACUGCAUUUGAAACUGGCAAGCUAGAGUCUCGUAGAGGGGGGUAGAAUUCCAGGUGUAGCGGUGAAAUGCGUAGAGAUCUGGAGGAAUACCGGUG